rnacentral:rRNA from 1 species
CGAACUGGUGAGUAACACGUGGGGAAUCUGCCCAGAAGCAGGGGAUAACACUUGGAAACAGGUGCUAAUACCGUAUAACAACAAAAUCCGCAUGGAUUUUGUUUGAAAGGUGGCUUCGGCUAUCACUUCUGGAUGAUCCCGCGGCGUAUUAGUUAGUUGGUGAGGUAAAGGCCCACCAAGACGAUGAUACGUAGCCGACCUGAGAGGGUAAUCGGCCACAUUGGGACUGAGACACGGCCCAAACUCCUACGGGAGGCAGCAGUAGGGAAUCUUCCACAAUGGACGAAAGUCUGAUGGAGCAAUGCCGCGUGAGUGAAGAAGGGUUUCGGCUCGUAAAACUCUGUUGUUAAAGAAGAACACCUUUGAGAGUAACUGUUCAAGGGUUGACGGUAUUUAACCAGAAAGCCACGGCUAACUACGUGCCAGCAGCCGCGGUAAUACGUAGGUGGCAAGCGUUGUCCGGAUUUAUUGGGCGUAAAGCGAGCGCAGGCGGUUUUUUAAGUCUGAUGUGAAAGCCUUCGGCUUAACCGGAGAAGUGCAUCGGAAACUGGGAGACUUGAGUGCAGAAGAGGACAGUGGAACUCCAUGUGUAGCGGUGGAAUGCGUAGAUAUAUGGAAGAACACCAGUGGCGAAGGCGGCUGUCUAGUCUGUAACUGACGCUGAGGCUCGAAAGCAUGGGUAGCGAACAGGAUUAGAUAC